rnacentral:rRNA from 1 species
AGCGAACGCUAGCGGCGGGCUUAACACAUGCAAGUCGAGCGCUUCACUUCGGUGAAGAGCGGCGAACGGGUGAGUAACACGUAGGUAAUCUACCCUUUGGUGGGGAAUAACCCAGGGAAACUUGGGCUAAUACCGCAUAUGGCCUUCGGGUCAAAGGCUUCGGCCGCCAGAGGAUGAGCCUGCGUCCCAUUACCUAGUUGGUAGGGUAACGGCCUACCAAGGGAACGAUGGGUAGCUGGUCUGAGAGGAUGAUCAGCCACACUGGGACUGAGACACGGCCCAGACUCCUACGGGAGGCAGCAGUGGGGAAUAUUGCGCAAUGGGCGAAAGCCUGACGCAGCCACGCCGCGUGUGUGAUGAAGGCCCUAGGGUCGUAAAGCACUGUCGGGAGAGAAGAAGUUCUGACGGUAUCUCCCAAGAAAGCACCGGCUAACUCCG